GUGUGGUGUAAUGGUUAGAGUUUUGGACCAGAACUCAAGGAGACCUGGGUUCAAAUCCCUGCUGAGCCA